UGCGGCGUGGCUUAGUAGUAGAGCGUCUGAUUCCGGCGCAAGCCGGGUUUUCGACCUCGCCUUCUUAUCCGAGUGUUUCGGGUCGUUAGAAGUCGGUUAUCUUGGCUCAGAAGGUCGCGGGUGCAACUCCUGCCGCCGCAU
rnacentral:tRNA from 1 species